rnacentral:lncRNA from 10 species
GAACUAAGGAGCUAAUGCUUCCUUUCCUCUGCGUUUUCUGAACAACCUCCAUACACCAUCUGCAUCGCUGUAUGGCAAGCUUAUGAGGCAGUUAUGUCUGAGUGAUGAGGUGAGUCUGCACAGUUUCAGAGCUUGGAAGCAGAAGAUAAAAUUGCUGUCAGUCUUCUAAAAUGCCAGUAUCUUCAAUGUGGACACUCAAGAG